rnacentral:piRNA from 1 species
UGAUGGGUGCCUUAUCCUGUCGUGGUU